UACGUAGGGUGCAGGCGUUAAUCGGAAUUACUGGGCGUAAAGCGUGCGCAGGCGGUCUGUUAGGACCGAUGUGAAAUCCCCGGGCUUAACCUGGGAAUGGCAUUUGGGACUGCAAGGCUUGAGUGCGGCAGAGGAGACUGGAAUUCCUGGUGUAGCAGUGAAAUGCGUAGAUAUCAGGAGGAACACCGAUGGCGAAGGCAGGUCUCUGGGCUGACACUGACGCUCAUGCACGAAAGCGUGGGGAGCAAACAGG
rnacentral:rRNA from 1 species